UUAGAAACAUAAAGUCAUUAUCACCAAACUUCUCUUUCUCUCUUCCUGCAGGUUUACACCAGAAGCCUAUGUGUUUGCAGGUUUCCUCGAAUAAGUUAUCUCAUUCAAAAUUCAAAUUCAUUAUCACCAAACCAAAUAUGGACAAAUUCCAAAACCCAGAGAAAGAGAGAGAGACGAGACCACCCCUGUUUCAUCUUUUCAAAAACCCUUUUCCCAACGCGUUUUCUUCAGAUCUUCGUUUUUCUUUGUUGUUUUUGACGAUUUCGUUUACAUGCUCGUGUAGAUCGUUCUUUGAUCUGCGUUUUGUGUAUGGAUUUGAUGUGUUUUGACAAUUUCUUAAUCCAUUUAAUUUUUCUUAUUUUUCAGUUGAUGGUGUUCUGCGUUACUAAUUGUAGAUUUGUAUGGAAAUCUGGUGCUCCUUCGUCUCCAAGUUAACUGAAGCAGAUAUGGAAUCAGUUUUAGCGGGAAGAGGCCUUCUCUUUUUUUAUGGUUCGGGUCACUGGAUUUUACAAUUGGAACUUAUAUAUUAUAAUAGAACACAACCUCACUUUUGUCGAACUCCAGAAUCCCCAAAUCACAAAAAUGCUUUUUUCGUUCUUCACCGAUUCAUCAAUGAUAACCGUAGAUUAAAACUUCCAAGGUUGGAUUAAAAUUGCACUUUAGCGGUAUAGACUAAGAAAUCUUAAAGUUAGUGUACAUAUGGCAUUCUUUACAGAAAUGGGACGUGUAUAGAGGCUUCAUAUAUGCUUUUGCAGUAUUCCUUACAAUUUUUCUUUAGUUAAAAGCAUAUCAUGAUGAUGACUAUUGUCCCUAACAAACUUAAUUUACUUUGAUCUCCAUAAAGUGUGGCUGAAAUGCCAAAAUGACCAUUUUUUAACCUGUAAAGCAGCGCAACCUAUAAACUGUUUUAUAUACCUAAAAUACUAAACAACAUAGUUAAUUCAGGAUAGUUUUUAACUGUUCCACCUGACCUGACCCAAACAAUAUUUGGUUACUGAAAUUAAUUGGUUCGUAUGCAUUUGCAGUUAACAUAUCUAUUGUGUUUUGGUGGCAUUGAUAACUUGCUGACACUCUAUUUGAGAUUUUGUGCGAAAACUAUUGAAAGUUCGAGAAUAUUGAAGGUUGCUUACUAAAGUACUAUCUGUUUGAAUUGGGUCAGUGUUUGUUAUUGAAGGUUGUUUACUAAAUAGAAGCUCAUUAGUAUCUGGUGAUGUUCGUAUGACCGAUACCCGUGCCGAUGAAGCAGAACGUGGUAUCACCAUCAAGUUCACUGGUAUCUCACUUGACUAUGAGAUGAGCGACAAAGCUUUAAAAAGCUUCAAAGGAGAAUGUAACGGGAACGAAUACCUAAUCAACCUUAUUGACUCACCUGGGCAUGUUGACUUUUCCUCUGAAGUCACCGCUGCUCUACGUAUUACCGAUGGUGCACUGGUUGUGGUCGAUUGUAUCGAGGGUGUUUGUGCUUAAACCGAAACCGCCCUUCGCCAAGCUCUCGGAGAAAGAAUUCAACCCGUUUUAAUCGUCAAAAAGAUGGACAGAUGUAUCCUUGAGCUUCAAGUUUACGGUGAAAAAAUGUAUCAAACUUUUCAAUGGGUUAUCGAAAACGCUAAUGUGAUCAUGGCCACAUACGAAGACCUGGUUCUCGGUGAUGUCAUGGUUUAUUCCAGAAAGGUACCGUUGUGUUCUCGGCUGGGUUGCACCGGUGGGCGUUUACGUUAACGAACUUUGCGCUGUGUUGACGAGGCGAAAAUGAUGGAAGGGCUUUGGGGAGAGAACCAUUUUGACCCGAUACCAAAAUGUGGACAACUAAGAGCACCGACUCUGCAACGUGCAAACGUGGGUUUGUUCAGUUCUUUUAAGAACCGAUUAAACAAAUUAUUAACACGUGAAUGAAUGACCAGAAAGAUCAGUUGUGGCCUAUGUUGACUAAGCUAGGUGUUACCAUGAAGUCCGAAGAGAAAGACUUGAUGGGUAAAGAAUUAAUGAACCACGUUAUGCAGAAUUGGCUUCCUGCUGCUAUGGCUUUACUCGAAAUGAUGAUUUUUUCUGCAUUUCUUAUCGCUAAAUCAGCCCAUUCGUCUCAUGCGUCGGUUCCUACAACUGCUACCGGUGGCAAGUGGAUAGUUGAAGAUGAUGAGUUUUCGCUUGCUUAGCUGUAUAACCAUCUAUUUGAUGCUGCUAGAUGUGGUUGGACCAAUAAGCAAGUACAUGCUAAGGAUUUAUGGAGGUUUGAUUCAAUUACUUUUUUUUACUGAAAAUCGGCUGGUACAUCCCUCCAUGUGACACCAUUUGAUACCCUAGGUAGCCACCGACUUGGCACCGACAAAGUUGGAUCCUGAAGAACUUUCAAAGAUACCCGCGAUGACCCGAAAGAGUUUGGAAAGUUCAACAAAGCCACAAAUAUUCAAGAUUGCGAUAUCAUGGGUAAAAAGAGCAUGAAUUUUAGCUAGACAUUGCAAGAGAUUGUGGAUGUAAUGGGCGUGAACCACCAAUGGGUCAAACAAAGGUAAAAGGAAAGUCUAUGAUGAAGAAGACCAAUAAUGUAGUUGUAGUGUUUAUUUUAUAUGAAUAAAGUUGGAUGAUCCGAACAAAAAAAACCAUCCACAUUCAUUUGCAUCCCGUGUGAUUAUGUGUUUAUGGUAUGGUACAUUUUUUUUUGUUGA